ACAGCCGUUCGCUCUGUCGCUGCCGGUCUGGUACCGGCAGAGGAAAGUCCGGACAACAGAGAGCACCAUACUACUUAACGGGUAGGAAGGUCUGGCCUGGGUCAGCGCCUUACAGAAAGUGCCACAGAAAACAACCGCCCUGAAUUCGUUUGGGGUAAGGGUGAAAACGUGAGGUAAGAGCUUACGCUCCUGCAUGGUGACAUCCAGGAGGGGUAAACCUUAUGGGUUGCAAGGCCAAAUAGGUCCCGGAAAUCCCUGAUCAUGCUCAGGGACCAGGGUUGCUCGCCCUGGCGCCGGUUCAACCCGGUCAUCCGGGAUGGGUAGGCUGCUAGAGGCGGAUAGUGAUAUCCGUCCCAGAUCAAUGACAGAGAGAUCCCGGCCAAAACCGGGACGAACAGAAUCCGGCUUACAGAACGGCUGUCUUU
rnacentral:RNase_P_RNA from 1 species